AGAUCGUACUGGUCUGAGCAGAUGCUUCAGUUUCUUUCUGAAUCUGAAGCCCACUCCUCUUUCUAACAACUGCAUGUCUGCUGUUGAACAAAUCACACUGCGGUCUUAAUGUAUUUCUGUUAAGAAACUGCUUUUCACCUCAACCAAAAUUAUAUCUCAGAACUGACACCACUAAACUCCAGAUGUCUCAACUUUCACUGCUGAUGUUGACCACUCUAAUGUCCCCACUGGCCCUUUGUCUCUGCUGCCUGAGAAAGUGGAUCUUCUUGUCAGAGUUGUGCCACCAAGCCCUGGAAUGAUUCUCUACCAGCCCUUCUUCUUUGAGUCACAGUGCCGAGGGGCUUCACUUACGGGACCUGAAAUCCUUGCUCCUCCUGUGACUGGCUUUUCUGUGAUGUUCUUCCUCAUCACUGAGUAUUGAAAUUCGAGUGGAUAUUUAGAGGGCCUUUUCCAAGAGGAAAAUCACCAGUGUCCGUCAGAUAUACACACACCAGAUGCGAAAACAAGAAUAAUAGAAGUGUGUAAUUUUAGCUAAAGCCAAAUAUGGUCAGAAGAUGAUUCCAAGAAGUUAUUCCCCAUUCAAGUACAUUUUGGAUUUUUUAGAGCCUUCAACGAGAUGAACCAGUAGGUUGGAUGUAUUACUUCUGGGAGAGUGCAACUGGGACUCUGUGUGUUGAUCAAGUUGCUUAACUCAACAUAUGCCCAGAAUUAUAUAAAGAGCAAAUAAAUGUCCAAAAAAUAAAGAUGAAGGGGAUUAUAUUUUUAGCAUGGAGGUCAAGUUAUGGCAUAUGAAGGUAUCAUGAUGGAUGUUAUAUUUUCCUGUUCUUAUUUAAUCUUCAAAACUCUUCGGGGUGAUAUUAUCUCCAUUUUACUCAUGAGGCAAAUUUAUCUCAGAGAAGAUAAAUAAUCCGCCCAUGAUCAUAGCGCUGGUAAAAGGGACAAAAUAGUACUUUAGUACAAAGCUACAUGGCUCCAAAGUCCAAGGUAUGUCUUUUAUCUAAAAUGAAAUACAGACCAAUAUAAAGGAACAACUUACCAUAUGUUUAUGACUGUGAAGAGCAAUAUAUAAAAAGGUUCAUUGUAGGAAAUUUCAUUCAAAAUAAAUAAAGUAAGAGUCACACAAAGUACUAUGUUUUAAAACAAACGAGCAAAGGAAAAAGAG